rnacentral:rRNA from 1 species
GGGUGUCGUCUUACCAACGUUAAUGCAUCGGAUCCUAUCAGAACUCCGCAGUUAAGCGUGCUUUGGCUAGAAUAGUACUGGGAUGGGUGACCUCCUGGGAAGUCCUAGUGUUGCACCCU